rnacentral:rRNA from 1 species
UACGUAGGGGGCUAGCGUUGUCCGGAUUUAUUGGGCGUAAAGCGCGUGUAGGCGGCAUGGCAAGUCGGGUGUGAAAUCCCUCAGCUCAACUGAGGAAGUGCGCCCGAAACUGCUUUGCUUGAGUGCUGGAGAGGGUCGCGGAAUUCCCCAAGUAGAGGUGAAAUUCGUAGAUAUGGGGAGGAACACCGGUGGCGAAGGCGGCGACCUGGACAGUAACUGACGCUGAGACGCGAAAGCGUGGGUAGCAAACAGG